rnacentral:rRNA from 1 species
UACGUAGGAGGCAAGCGUUGUCCGGAAUUACUGGGCGUAAAGCGCGUGUAGGUGGUGGGACAAGUCUGCUGUGAAAGCGCCUGGCUUAACCGGGCGAGGUCGGCGGAAACUGUCCGACUAGAGGACGGUAGAGGGGGGGUGGAAUUCCCGGUGUAGUGGUGAAAUGCGUAGAGAUCGGGAGGAACACCUGUGGCGAAGGCGGCCCCCUGGGCCGGCCCUGACACUGAGACGCGAAAGCGUGGGGAGCGAACAGG